GCCGCGGUAUUUUGACCGUGCAAAGGUAGCGUAAUCAUUUGUCUUUUAAAUGAAGACCUGUAUGAAUGGCUAGACGAGGGCUUAACUGUCUCCUUUUUCAAGUCAAUGAAAUUGAUCUCCCCGUGCAAAAGCGGGGAUAUGCCCAUAAGACGAGAAGACCCUAUGGAGCUUUAGAUGCCACAGCAAGCAUAGCUGCUACAUCCAAAUAAAGGAUGUAUCCACUAGCUUCUGCCUCAACAUCUUCGGUUGGGGUGACCAUGGGGAACGAAAAACCCCCACGUCUCUGUACUGGAGUCUCUAUUAAACCUAACAAACUCUUUCAAACAAGAGCCGCCGCUCUACUUAACAGAAUUUCUGACCAUUGAUCCGGCAAUGCCGAUUAACGAAUCCAGUUACCCUAGGGAUAACAGCGCAAUCCCCUUCUAGAGUCCAUAUCGAUAAGGGGGCUUACGACCUCGAUGUUGG
rnacentral:rRNA from 1 species